rnacentral:rRNA from 1 species
UCGGCGCUACCAUGCAGUCGAGCGGUAAGGCCUUUCGGGGUACACGAGCGGCGAACGGGUGAGUAACACGUGGGUGAUCUGCCCUGCACUUCGGGAUAAGCCUGGGAAACUGGGUCUAAUACCGGAUAUGACCUCCUAUCGCAUGGUGGGUGGUGGAAAGAUUUAUCGGUGCAGGAUGGGCCCGCGGCCUAUCAGCUUGUUGGUGGGGUAAUGGCCUACCAAGGCGACGACGGGUAGCCGACCUGAGAGGGUGACCGGCCACACUGGGACUGAGACACGGCCCAGACUCCUACGGGAGGCAGCAGUGGGGAAUAUUGCACAAUGGGCGAAAGCCUGAUGCAGCGACGCCGCGUGAGGGAUGACGGCCUUCGGGUUGUAAACCUCUUUCAGCAGGGACGAAGCGCAAGUGACGGUACCUGCAGAAGAAGCACCGGCUAACUACGUGCCAGCAGCCGCGGUAAUACGUAGGGUGCAAGCGUUGUCCGGAAUUACUGGGCGUAAAGAGUUCGUAGGCGGUUUGUCGCGUCGUUUGUGAAACCAGCAGCUCAACUGCUGGCUUGCAGGCGAUACGGGCAGACUUGAGUACUGCAGGGGAGACUGGAAAUUCCUGGUGUAGCGGUGAAAUGCGCAGAUUCAUGAGGAACAACCGGUGGCGAAGGCCGGAUCUCUUGGGCAGUACCUGAACCCUUGA